rnacentral:rRNA from 1 species
AUUGAACGCUGGCGGCAUGCCUUACACAUGCAAGUCGAACGGUAACAGGUCUUCGGAUGCUGACGAGUGGCGAACGGGUGAGUAAUACAUCGGAACGUGCCCGAUCGUGGGGGAUAACGAAGCGAAAGCUUUGCUAAUACCGCAUACGAUCUACGGAUGAAAGCGGGGGAUCUUCGGACCUCGCGCGGACGGAGCGGCCGAUGGCAGAUUAGGUAGUUGGUGGGAUAAAAGCUUACCAAGCCGACGAUCUGUAGCUGGUCUGAGAGGAUGAUCAGCCACACUGGGACUGAGACACGGCCCAGACUCCUACGGGAGGCAGCAGUGGGGAAUUUUGGACAAUGGGCGCAAGCCUGAUCCAGCCAUGCCGCGUGCAGGAUGAAGG